rnacentral:rRNA from 1 species
UACAGAGGUCUCGAGCGUUAGGCGGAAUCACUGGGCUUAAAGCGUGUGUAGGUGGAUGCCUAAGUACCUUGUGAAAUCCCACAGCUUAACUGCGGAACUGCUUGGUAUACUGGGUGUCUUGAGUCACUCAGGGGCGAGCGGAACAAAUGGUGGAGCGGUGAAAUGCGUAGAUAUCAUUUGGAACGCCAAUGGUGAAAACAGCUCGCUGGGGGUGUACUGACACUGAGACACGAAAGCCAGGGGAGCGAACGGG